GGAUUGGGGUGAACUAGUGCAGCUAAAGCUUUGUGACCUUCAUACCUGUUGCUUCGGCGGCGCGCCUCCCGGGGCGUGCCCGCCGGCAUUAUCAGAAUCUCUGUUCGAACCCGACGAUACUUCUGAGUGUUCUAAGCGAACUGUUAAAACUUUCAACAACGGAUCUCUUGGCUCCAGCAUCGAUGAAGAACGCAGCGAAACGCGAUAUGUAAUGUGAAUUGCAGAAUUCAGUGAAUCAUCGAAUCUUUGAACGCACAUGGCGCCUUCCAGUAUCCUGGGAGGCAUGCCUGUCCGAGCGUCGUUUCAACCCUCGAGCCCCCGUGGCCCGGCGUUGGGGACCUGCCCAGGCAGUCCCCGAAAACCAGUGGCGGACCCGACGGGCCCUUCCUUUGCGUAGUAACAUCUGCCUCGCAUCGGGAGCCCCCGGGCUAUCCGGCCUCUAAACCCCCCUCAAGCCCGCUCCGGCGGCACCAAGGUUGACCUCGGAUCAGGUAGGAAUACCCGCUGAACUUAAGCAUAUCAAUAAGCGGAGGAA
rnacentral:rRNA from 1 species